rnacentral:rRNA from 1 species
AUUGAACGCUGGCGGCAGGCCUAACACAUGCAAGUCGAGCGGAUGAAGAGAGCUUGCUCUCUGAUUCAGCGGCGGACGGGUGAGUAAUGCCUAGGAAUCUGCCUGGUAGUGGGGGACAACGCUUCGAAAGGAACGCUAAUACCGCAUACGUCCUACGGGAGAAAGUGGGGGAUCUUCGGGCCUCACGCUAUCAGAUGAGCCUAGGUACGAUUAGCUAGUUGGUGAGGUAAAGGCUCAACAAGGCGACGAUCGUUAACUGGUCUGAGAGGAUGAUCAGUCAAACUGGAACUGAGACACGGUCCAGACUCCUACGGGAGGCAGCAGUGGGGAAUAUUGGACAAUGGGCGAAAGCCUGAUCCAGCCAUGCCGCGUGUGUGAAGAAGGUCUUCGGAUUGUAAAGCACUUUAAGUUGGGAGGAAGGGCAGUAAGUUAAUACCUUGCUGUUUUGACGUUACCGACAGAAUAAGCACCGGCUAACUUCGUGCCAGCAGCCGCCGUAA